GAUGAACGCUAGCUACAGGCUUAACACAUGCAAGUCGAGGGGAAACGACAUCGAAAGCUUGCUUUUGAUGGGCGUCGACCGGCGCACGGGUGAGUAACGCGUAUCCAACCUGCCCAUCACUUGGGAAUAACCUUGCGAAAGUAAGACUAAUGCCCAAUGAUAUCCCACGAAGGCAUCCGAAUGGGAUUAAAGAUUUAUCGGUGAUGGAUGGGGAUGCGUCUGAUUAGCUUGUUGGCGGGGUAACGGCCCACCAAGGCGACGAUCAGUAGGGGUUCUGAGAGGAAGGUCCCCCACAUUGGAACUGAGACACGGUCCAAACUCCUACGGGAGGCAGCAGUGAGGAAUAUUGGUCAAUGGGCGAGAGCCUGAACCAGCCAAGUAGCGUGCAGGAUGACGGCCCUAUGGGUUGUAAACUGCUUUUAUAAGGGAAUAAAGUGAGUCUCGUGAGACUUUUUGCAUGUACCUUAUGAAUAAGGACCGGCUAAUUCCGUGCCAGCCGCCGCGGUAA
rnacentral:rRNA from 1 species